rnacentral:rRNA from 1 species
CACAGGGAGGUAGUGACAAGAAAUAACAAUGCGCUGCCCUUCGGGAGCGCAAUUGGAAUGAGUACAAUUUAAACCCCUUAACGAGGAACAAUUGGAGGGCAAGUCUGGUGCCAGCAGCCGCGGUAAUUCCAGCUCCAAUAGCGUAUAUUAAAGUUGUUGCAGUUAAAAAGCUCGUAGUUGAACAUCGGGUGCGGCCGCGCACGGUCUGCUUCGGCAGUACCGACCGGUUGUGCCUUACAUCCUGGGGGUGCGGCUGCUCUUAACCGGGCGGCCGUGGCUUCAGGACCUUUACUGUGACGAAAUUAGAGUGUUUAAAGCAGGCGUAAGCUUGAAUACAUUAGCAUGGAAUAAUGAAAUAGGACCGUGGUUCUAUUUCGUUGGUUUGAGGGCCAAGGUGAUGAUUAAUAGGGACAGUUGGGGGCAUUAGUAUUCCGGAGCUAGAGGUGAAAUUCUUGGAUUUCCGGACGACUAACAAGUGCGAAGGCAUUUGCCAAGGAUGCUCUUUUUAAUCAAGAACGAAAGUUAGGGGAUCAAAGACGAUUAGAUACCGUCGUAGUCUUAACCGUAAACGAUGCCGACUGGGGAUUGGUGGAUGACAAAUGUCGCCAUCAGCACCCUGCGAGAAAUCAAAGUUUUUGGGUUCUGGGGGGAGUAUGGUCGCAAGGCUGAAACUUAAAGGAAUUGACGGAAGGGCACCACCAGGAGUGGAGCCUGCGGCUUAAUUUGACUCAACACGGAAAACUCACCAGGUCCAGACAUAGUAAGGAUUGACAGAUUUGAGAGCUCUUUCUUGAUUCUAUGGGUGGUGGUGCAUGGCCGUUCUUAGUUGGUGGAGUGAUUUGUCUGGUUAAUUCCGAUAACGAACGAGACCUUAACCUGCUAAAUAGGCGGCCUAAUCCGUUAGGCUGCGCCUUCUUAGAGGGACUAGCUACGUUUUAGUAGCUGGAAGUUUGAGGCAAUAACAGGUCUGUGAUGCCCUUAGAUGUUCUGGCCGCACGCGCGCUACACUGGCAGAGGCAGCGAGUUUUUUCCUUGACCGAAAGGUCUGGGUAAUCUUGUGAAACUCUGCCGUGAUUGGGAUCGACCAUUGUAAUUAUUGGUCGUCAACGAGGAAUUCCUAGUAAGCGCGAGUCAUCAGCUCGCGUUGAUUACGUCCCUGCCCUUUGUACACACCGCCGUCGCUACUACCGAUU